UACGGAGGAUGCAAGCGUUAUCCGGAAUCAUUGGGCGUAAAGGGUCCUGAGGUGGUUUGCUAAGUCUACUGUGAAAGAUCAGGGCUCAACCCUGAAGAUGCGGUGGAAACUGGCAGGCUAGAAUACGGUAGGGGCAGGGGGAAUUCCCGGUGUAGCGGUGAAAUGCAUAGAUAUCGGGAAGAACACCAAAGGCGAAGGCGCCCUGCUGGGCCGAUAUUGACACUGACAGACGAAAGCUAGGGGAGCGAAUGGG
rnacentral:rRNA from 1 species